AGAGUUUGAUCCUGGCUCAGGAUGAACGCUAGCGACAGGCUUAACACAUGCAAGUCGAGGGGCAGCAUAAUGGAUAGCAAUAUCUAUGGUGGCGACCGGCGCACGGGUGCGUAACGCGUAUGCAACCUACCUUUAACAGGGGGAUAACACUGAGAAAUUGGUACUAAUACCCCAUAAUAUCAUAGAAGGCAUCUUUUAUGGUUGAAAAUUCCGAUGGUUAGAGAUGGGCAUGCGUUGUAUUAGCUAGUUGGUGAGGUAACGGCUCACCAAGGCGACGAUACAUAGGGGGACUGAGAGGUUAACCCCCCACACUGGUACUGAGACACGGACCAGACUCCUACGGGAGGCAGCAGUGAGGAAUAUUGGUCAAUGGACGCAAGUCUGAACCAGCCAUGCCGCGUGCAGGAUGACGGCUCUAUGAGUUGUAAACUGCUUUUGUACGAGGGUAAACGCAGAUACGUGUAUCUGUCUGAAAGUAUCGUACGAAUAAGGAUCGGCUAACUCCGUGCCAGCAGCCGCGGUAAUACGGAGGAUUCAAGCGUUAUCCGGAUUUAUUGGGUUUAAAGGGUGCGUAGGCGGUUUGAUAAGUUAGAGGUGAAAUUUCGGGGCUCAACCCUGAACGUGCCUCUAAUACUGUUGAGCUAGAGAGUAGUUGCGGUAGGCGGAAUGUAUGGUGUAGCGGUGAAAUGCUUAGAGAUCAUACAGAACACCGAUUGCGAAGGCAGCUUACCAAACUAUAUCUGACGUUGAGGCACGAAAGCGUGGGGAGCAAACAGGAUUAGAUACCCUGGUAGUCCACGCAGUAAACGAUGAUAACUCGUUGUCGGCGAUACACAGUCGGUGACUAAGCGAAAGCGAUAAGUUAUCCACCUGGGGAGUACGUUCGCAAGAAUGAAACUCAAAGGAAUUGACGGGGGCCCGCACAAGCGGAGGAACAUGUGGUUUAAUUCGAUGAUACGCGAGGAACCUUACCCGGGCUUGAAAGUUAGCGACGAUUCUUGAAAGAGGAUUUCCCUUCGGGGCGCGAAACUAGGUGCUGCAUGGUUGUCGUCAGCUCGUGCCGUGAGGUGUCGGGUUAAGUCCCAUAACGAGCGCAACCCCUACCGUUAGUUGCCAUCAGGUCAAGCUGGGCACUCUGGCGGGACUGCCGGUGUAAGCCGAGAGGAAGGUGGGGAUGACGUCAAAUCAGCACGGCCCUUACGUCCGGGGCUACACA
rnacentral:rRNA from 1 species